rnacentral:rRNA from 1 species
AUUUUAAUAUUUAUUUAUUAAUUUUUUUUUUGUUAUUUAUAUAAUCUAUUAAAAAUAAUUAUAAAAAAUAAUGUUUUAGUAAGUUUUAGUGAAAAAAUAAUUUUAAUAAUAGUUUAUUAUGUAUUGUGAAAGAAUAUUGAAAUAAAUUGAAAAAUUUUUAAUUAAAAAGAAAAUUUAGUUUAUUGUACCUUGUGUAUCAGGGUUGAUCUAAUAAUUAAUAAUUAUUUAUUAAUCUCGAUUUUAUAAGAGUUAAUAAUUUAUUAAAGUUAAUGUAUCAAAAUUAUUUUAAAUAAAUUAUUAGAAAUGAAAUGUUAUUCGUUUAUAAAGGUAUCUAGUUUUUUUAGAAAUAAAUUUAAUUUACAAAUUUUUAAUUUUUAAUUUUUUUUUUUAAAAUUAAAAAUUUAUUAAUUUGAAUAUUUUAAGGGAUAAGCUUUAAAAUAAAAUAUUAAAAAUUAUUGAAUAAUUUAUUUAAAAUGUAUGUAUAGAAUUAGCAAUCAUUUAUAAAUUUGUUAUAAAUUAUUUUAUAAUUUAUGUUAUUUAAUUUUGUUUUCAUUGAAUUUAUAAAAAUUUUUUUAUUAAUUUAAAAUAAAAAGUAAUAAUGAUUAAAUUAGUAUAUAUUUAAGUAUUGUUAAAAUAUUUUAUAUUGAAAAGUUUAUAUAAAGAACUCGGCAAAUUUUAUUUAUACUCGCCUGUUUAACAAAAACAUGUCUUUUUGAAUUAUAUUUAAAGUCUGACCUGCCCACUGAAUAAUUUUAAAUGGCCGCAGUAUUUUGACUGUGCAAAGGUAGCAUAAUCAUUAGUCUUUUAAUUGAAGGCUGGUAUGAACGGUUGGACGAAGUAUAAGCUGUUUCAUAUAAAUUUAUAAUAGAAUUUUAUAUUUUAGUUAAAAAGCUAAAAUUUUAUUAAAAGACGAGAAGACCCUAUAAAUCUUUAUAUUUAAUAUAAACUAAAUUUUUUUGAUUUAUUUUAUUUUUUUUAAUAUUAAUUAUUUUGUUGGGGUGAUAUUAAAAUUUGAUGAACUUUUAAUUUUUAAAAAUCAUUAAUUUAUGAAUUAUUGAUCCAUUAAUAGUGAUUAUAAGAUUAAGUUACUUUAGGGAUAACAGCGUAAUUUUUUUUGAGAGUUCAUAUCGACAAAAAAGUUUGCGACCUCGAUGUUGGAUUAAGGUAUAAUUUUGGGUGUAGCCGUUCAAAAAUUAAGUCUGUUCGACUUUUAAAUCCUUACAUGAUCUGAGUUCAGACCGGCGUAAGCCAGGUUGGUUUCUAUCUUUAAUAAAUUGUAAUAUUUUAGUACGAAAGGACCAAAUAUUAAAAUAAUUAUAUUUUGAAUAAUAGAAUAUUAUUAAUAUAAGUAA